CAAUCAUGUUGGAAUCCUCUUUCACCCAGUAAAUUAACUAUAUAAUGAUUUCUUGAUUGUUUGCAUCAGUCUUUUACACAAAAUUUAGUAUAAUAAAACCUCAUUCUCUAUUGUGAAUAAAAGCAGGAAAAUACAUCAAACGGCUCUUGGGUAUUCAUAACCAUUUGCUAGGAGUCUUGGUUUGCAUUUGAGAACAACAAUGUUAUAUUUGGAAUGAAUUUGAAAGAGCUUAAGUUCAAACUUAAAUUGGUCUUGAAUUAAGGUUUGAAUAAACUUGAACGAGCUUUAGUUCAAACUUGAAUCGGCAUUAUACUUAGGG
rnacentral:misc_RNA from 1 species